GCUGGCGUAGCUCAGUUGGUAGAGCAACGGUUUUGUAAACCGUCUGUCGGGGGUUCGAAUCCCUUCGCCAGCUCCA
rnacentral:tRNA from 1 species